GACGUAGGGCGCGAGCGUUGUCCGGAUUUAUUGGGCGUAAAGAGCUCGUAGGCGGCUUGUCGCGUCGUCCGUGAAAACCCACAGCUCAACUGUGGGCUUGCGGUCGAUACGGGCAGGCUAGAGUUCGGUAGGGGAGACUGGAAUUCCUGGUGUAGCGGUGAAAUGCGCAGAUAUCAGGAGGAACACCAGUGGCGAAGGCGGUGCUCCGGGCCGGAACUGACGCUGAGGAGCGAAAGCGUGGGGAGCAAACAGG
rnacentral:rRNA from 1 species